UACGGAGGGAGCUAGCGUUGUUCGGAAUUACUGGGCGUAAAGCGCGCGCAGGCGGCUAUCCAAGUCAGUGGUGAAAGCCCGGAGCUCAACUCCGGAACUGCCAUUGAAACUGUUUAGCUUGAGGACGAGAGAGGUGAGUGGAAUUCCCAGUGUAGAGGUGAAAUUCGUAGAUAUUGGGAAGAACACCGGUGGCGAAGGCGGCUCACUGGCUCGUAUCUGACGCUCAGGCGCGAUAGCGUGGGGAGCAAACAGG
rnacentral:rRNA from 1 species